rfam:Stegodyphus mimosarum contig23304, whole genome shotgun sequence.
AAAAAGGCCCUUUUCAGGGUCAUACAAUUUCAAGUACAGUUCUGU